ensembl:lncRNA
CCCCCUUCGUACUGUACGUGUGCUUGACUUUAAUUAUAGCGCAAUAGGAUGUUUUCUCGAAGUCCUUAUCUACCGCAGUUAAAAUAUCUUGUUUGUUUUGUUUUUUAGUAAAUAUUAUUUUAGGGAAUAUGACCUUCCAUACUUUUUAAAUCUUCAUUAACUAAAUCCUGCCUUGGAGAUUUAUAAUGAACUGAAACUUUAAAAUUGUUUACUUGUUCUUUCUUUUCAUUACCUCCAAAAUGGUCAUCUGUUCUUUCUUUUCACUUUUCCCCCUCUCUGUUAGGAAUACACCUUAUUAACCUUCUCUAAUUUUAAUGUAAAUGACACUUGUAUAUAUUCACAUUUUCUUUUGUUUUCCUUUAUAUUUAAUUCCCCCUUUUUCCUUUGCUUUGCAUUAGUCUGUUCUGUCCAGCUUAAAUUAACAAAUGUACACUGUGCAUUGAUUUAUAGGAAUCAGAAUGUGCAUCUGAUGAACACUAAUUUCAAUUUUAAAAAAUGUGAUGUUAUGGAAAUUUACAGACACAGUAGCUCCAUUUCACUAAAAUGACAUCAUGACCGGAUGAAGUGACUGAGUAUUUGAUUAUAAUUACUUGAUGGAAUUUAGUGAAGUACUGAAUCAAAUAUGGAGGUGGGUACUUUUGCCAUUCUUAAUGUUACAACACGAGCCCUUUUGAGAUUAAAGAUUUGAUUGACCUCAUCUUGCAUUCACACUAGCAAAUGACUACGCAACAUUAAACUUCAUUUCCUUGAAAUAGACAUUUCGUAAGUGCAGCAGCGUGACAUGCAUUAGUUUAUGUAAAUUGGUUAUGGUGACGUGGCAAAAAUCGAUUGGCUAAUAAAUUCCUCGGAUUUUCCUCGUCUCAUCUUAAUUUUGUAUCUGCGUUUGGUUCCCAUUUUGUUGCACAAAAACUGAAGGAAAAAACAUCAGUGAAACCAGCAAACACUAAAAAUACUUUUCAGAUAAAGGUCACGUAGUAUACGUAUAUGAGGUAUAUGAAUUUCAGUGUUCUGUCUGUAUUUUGGCUAAAAACAUUCAUCAGAUCUACAACGGUAAUGGUAUCAGUCGCGCCACUCUACAAAAGACCAAUCUGGCAACUUGACAUCAGCAGCCUGUCGGUUGUUAGUGUGAUGUAGUUUGGGUUGUGCCUCCAUGUUCAUUUUUACAAUAUUACUCUAGUAAGUGUUGCAGUAGUGAACUCAGCUGGACGUAUCGUCUUGGGCUGUGUUACUCAAAUAAUGGCAAGGUCCGACGUUAACCUAACAGCAUGACGUAUUCUUAUGAAGGUCUUCUAAUUAAACACAAGCAUUAAGCACUCAGAGUCCUGCAGGAUUACUGGGCUUUGUGGAGGCCAUGACCAAAGACAGGAACGUGAAACGUGUACGCUACACCGACGAGUUAAACUGCAGGAGAGACUCGCUUGAUGCUUGAUAGAUAGGGAUUAUUUUCAUUCUAUAUUUUAAAGUGGGUGUUAUCUUGCUAUAUCUUGGUUUACAUGGUAUGUCAGCUCCCAUAAUAUAUAUCUCUCUCUCACACAUGCGCAUAUAUAUAUAUAUAUAUAUAUAUAUAUAUAUAUAUAUAUAUAUAUAUAUAUAUAUAUAUAUAUAUAUAAAAUGCAUAUAUGUGCGCACACAUGCCGAACUUGUUCACCACCAUGCACUUCUUCUGUGCCCAGCUUGAAUUGUCAGUACGUCCUGUUGUUGAAAGAUUUUAGUUUAUAUCUGAGACAGAACAACUACAUUAAUAUAAAAUAAGACCUAUUUUUGUGCAUUGUCAUUCAUGUAAUUUAAAGAUUUUGCCUUUUUAAAAAACUUUCUCCUUUUUAUUUAAUUGAUGUCAAUAUAUGAAUUAUAGAUUUAUGAAAAAUAAAGAUCUAUGCAAAGUUAUGAACUUGCCUCUUUACUCUUUACGUGUUACUUUUACCACGUUUUGUCAGAUUUUCACAUGUGCAUGUUCCAAAAGCCAGACUCUGCUUUGCUGUGGUCUACAUUUCUAAUGACUCAAAUAUUUAUUUAUUUAUUUAUUUAAAGUUAGUUAAACUUUGCUGCAAGAGAGACAAUUGAGAGAGACGAAAUUAUCCAUUACUUCUGUAUUUCUAUGUAAUGACCGUUGCAUCCUGUAGAGGUUUGGAUGGUGAGCUGUGACAGAUAUGUGGUUAGAGGUGUGG